UUUAGAGAACUUUUUUAAAGGCUUUUGAUACAUUUGUCAACCUGUCUUCAAGAGAGAUUAGUUUGUUUGUACUGUUCACCAACAGCAUUUGAGUAUGCCUAUGACCUGCAUCCUGGGUGUAAACUCCAUACAAUAGUAAAAUAAGAAUAUGCUAGAUAGAGCUUUUGAUAUACUGUACUAGUUUUACACAGUUAAUAAUGAUAAUGCUGUUUUUUGGUAUCUAAACUGGUUAAUACUGAGCAUGUAUGUUUUUAUUGAAAAACUGUAUUAUUUCUUUUUUUCUUGCAUUUGACUUUGAUGGCUACAGAUUGUAUCCAGCCUUCAGUCAUCAGACAUGUUCGUUCUUGGAGCAACAUCCCCUUUAUCACUGUACCCCUCAGUCGUACACAUGGCAAGUCCUUUGCCCACCGCGGUGAACUGAAGCAUGCCAAGAGAAUCGUGGUGAAGCUCGGCAGUGCUGUGGUGACCCGAGGGGAUGAAUGUGGCCUGGCCCUGGGGCGCUUGGCAUCUAUUGUUGAGCAGGUAUCAGUGCUGCAGAAUCAGGGCAGAGAGAUGAUGCUGGUGACCAGCGGAGCUGUAGCCUUUGGCAAACAACGCUUGCGCCAUGAGAUCCUUCUGUCUCAGAGCGUGCGGCAGGCCCUACACUCGGGGCAGAACCAGCUGAAAGAGAUGGCAAUUCCAGUCUUAGAGGCACGAGCCUGUGCAGCUGCCGGACAGAGUGGGCUGAUGGCCUUGUAUGAGGCUAUGUUUACCCAGUACAGCAUCUGUGCUGCCCAGAUUUUGGUGACCAAUUUGGAUUUCCAUGAUGAGCAGAAGCGCCGGAACCUCAAUGGAACACUUCAUGAACUCCUUAGAAUGAACAUUGUCCCCAUUGUCAACACAAAUGAUGCUGUUGUCCCCCCAGCUGAGCCCAACAGUGACCUGCAGGGGGUAAAUGUUAUUAGUGUUAAAGAUAAUGAUAGCCUGGCUGCCCGACUGGCUGUGGAAAUGAAAACUGACCUCUUGAUUGUUCUUUCAGAUGUAGAAGGCCUUUUUGACAGCCCCCCGGGGUCAGAUGAUGCAAAGCUUAUUGAUAUAUUUUACCCCGGAGAUCAGCAGUCUGUGACAUUUGGAACCAAGUCUAGAGUGGGAAUGGGUGGCAUGGAAGCCAAGGUGAAAGCAGCCCUCUGGGCUUUGCAAGGUGGCACUUCUGUUGUUAUUGCCAAUGGAACCCACCCAAAGGUGUCUGGGCACGUCAUCACAGACAUCGUGGAGGGGAAGAAAGUUGGUACCUUCUUUUCAGAAGUAAAGCCUGCAGGCCCUACUGUUGAGCAGCAGGGAGAAAUGGCUCGAUCUGGAGGAAGGAUGUUGGCCACCUUGGAACCUGAGCAGAGAGCAGAAAUUAUCCAUCAUCUGGCUGAUCUGUUGACGGACCAGCGUGAUGAGAUCCUGUUAGCCAACAAAAAAGACUUGGAGGAGGCAGAGGGGAGACUUGCAGCUCCUCUGCUGAAACGUUUAAGCCUAUCCACAUCCAAAUUGAACAGCCUGGCCAUCGGUCUGCGGCAGAUCGCAGCCUCCUCCCAGGACAGCGUGGGACGUGUUUUGCGCCGCACCCGAAUCGCCAAAAACCUGGAACUGGAACAAGUGACUGUCCCAAUUGGAGUUCUGCUGGUGAUCUUUGAAUCUCGUCCUGACUGCCUACCCCAGGUGGCAGCUUUGGCUAUCGCAAGUGGUAACGGCUUGUUACUCAAAGGAGGGAAGGAGGCUGCACACAGCAACCGGAUUCUCCACCUUCUGACCCAGGAGGCCCUCUCAAUCCAUGGAGUCAAGGAGGCCGUGCAGCUGGUGAAUACCAGAGAAGAAGUUGAAGAUCUUUGUCGCCUAGACAAAAUGAUAGAUCUGAUCAUUCCACGUGGCUCUUCCCAGCUGGUCAGAGACAUCCAGAAAGCUGCUAAGGGGAUUCCAGUGAUGGGGCACAGCGAAGGGAUCUGUCACAUGUAUGUGGAUUCCGAGGCCAGUGUUGAUAAGGUCACCAGGCUAGUCAGAGACUCUAAAUGUGAAUAUCCAGCUGCCUGUAAUGCUUUGGAGACUUUGUUAAUCCACCGGGAUCUGCUCAGGACACCAUUAUUUGACCAGAUCAUUGAUAUGCUGAGAGUGGAACAGGUAAAAAUUCACGCAGGCCCCAAAUUUGCCUCCUAUCUGACCUUCAGCCCCUCCGAAGUGAAGUCACUUCGAACUGAGUAUGGGGACCUGGAAUUAUGCAUUGAAGUAGUGGACAACGUUCAGGAUGCCAUUGACCACAUCCACAAGUACGGCAGCUCCCACACGGAUGUCAUCGUCACAGAGAACGAAAACACAGCAGAGUUCUUCCUGCAGCACGUCGACAGUGCCUGUGUGUUCUGGAAUGCCAGCACUCGCUUUUCUGAUGGUUACCGAUUUGGACUGGGAGCUGAAGUGGGAAUCAGUACAUCGAGAAUCCAUGCCCGGGGACCAGUAGGACUUGAGGGACUGCUUACUACUAAGUGGCUGCUGCGAGGGAAGGACCACGUGGUCUCAGAUUUCUCAGAGCAUGGAAGUUUAAAGUAUCUUCAUGAGAACCUCCCGGUUCCUCAGAGAAACACCAACUGAAAAGAGCCAGGAAAACCCGGGAAUGUUCCAAAAGCUGUCUGGGGAGACAAGACAUCUGCCUCAACAGUGUUUGUUGGUGGAAGCAACAUAGGCAAAACCCACAGAGGGACUCAGAUGGGGAGAGAAGAAAGGAAAACAGGAGAUUAAGCCCCAAGAGCUUGAAGACUAAAAGUGCGGUGAGGGUCUGAAGUUGGUGGGGUCCGACCUGAGCGAGCUCCCACCGUGGCACAUAGCCCCAGCUGACAUCCUUAGUUCACUGCAUCCCCCAGCUCCUCCCUGCCCGUCUUGUUGCCUCAGGAUCACCUGACAGUUCAGACCCUCCCCACUCUCCCUCCAUUUAGCUCCUGUCCUUAGGGCCCCUGGUGCCUGACAGUCUGCAGUUGAAAGAUUUCUUGUCUCAUGGGGGCCUCCUAAAGAAGUAAGCACUCGCUUGCAGUGCUGUUGCGUUUCCUCUGGGGAUGUUUCACCAGCACAAGAAUGAUGGUGUGGUGUGGAACAUGUUCCCAGGCUGGCUGCACAGCCUGCCUCUCAUCCAGACCCUUACAUGGUCUGGCAAGUCACCCUGACUGCCCUGCCCUCUGGAUGGGAAGUUCUGGCAUAGCUUGCCUGAAAAGGCUAUAAACAGCCCUGUCUGAAACUGUCACAAACACCACAAUGAGCUCCCAACCAGACAACAAAUGCCCAGGUAUCUUAAAUAGAAGGCAGCCUAAGAGAGCUGGGGCCCUUGGGGAAGACCACUGAGAAGGCAGGCCUGCAUCUGGGCCCUGAGAAAGACCACUAUCAUCAGACAGAAACCCCAAGUUUCACUCAUUAAACUGGCCUGCAUCAAUCAUUGCUGUAAAUGCACACAUUGAGUUUAACUGCAUCCCACAGAAACUUCAAAGAAUUGGGGCUUGAACUUGAUCAUUCCUUCUUCUCAUGUAAAAAGAGCUCUGGAAGUAGGCAGCUUCAAGGCUGAGGUAAUGCCUCCAUGAAGGCCAUCAGGCACUGGGGCUGCUUUUGGUUUAUGCUCUUCUGUCCUAGGGCAAGGCUCUUGUCCACAUGGUAGUGGCAUUCCAACCAUCAGGACUGCAUUCCAGCCAGCAGGAAGAAGGAAGAACCAUAGGCAGAGGAGUGUCUGCCCGCUGCCCCUUCUAAGUGACAUCCGCUGCCCCUUCUAAGUGAUGUUCCAGGAAGACCCCCGCAGUGGCUUGACCAAAACGAGCUCAUGGCCUCCCUUCUCUAAAAGGGAUCUGGGAGGUGUAGCUUUUUUAUUUGGGCACACUGCAGCUCCAAGAAAGUAAGGGUGCUAUUGGUAAGGGAGGAGGAAAAUCAGAUAGGGGAAGAAGAUUAUCCUAAUUGAUUCGUGGAGCUGAGAGCAGGAUUCAUUCACCUAAACAGUAUGGCUGCUGGAGAACAAAAGAGGGCUGGGAUGGUGGCCAGAGAGGUAGCCACAAUGUCCCACUGCACUGCCUCACAGAAAGGAAAUGGAAAGGAGAGGUGAGCAGACACUAAAGAUUCAUGGUGCUAUUUGCAGCCCAGUGUAAUGGAGGGAGCACUGAACUGGGACUCCAGAAUUUUUUUUCCAGCUCUGUCACUGACUGGCAUUAUGACCUUGGGUAACUAAACAUUUUUGCCUCAGUUUCCACACUCACAAAAUGGGAGCUUGGAUAAGCUUCCUAGUGAGAUGGGGGUAUGGGAGGCUCUUCAUCACUAAAUUGCAAAUUAGCUGAACAAAGUAUUUUUUUGUGACAGCCAUAGCUGGCCAAGUCUUUGGUAGGCAUUGAAAGCUAAACACAACAUCACUGACCCGCUCUUCUCCACGCACACACACCCCUCUGCUAUUUGCUGGAUUUGUGAACCUCAGACUACUUCAAACUGUGGUUCAAGGAUCAUUGUAACAGAAUGACCACAGAGGCUAGCUAAAACUGUAGAUUCCUGCACCCAGAUCUGCUGAGCCAAAAUUUCUGAGGAUGGGGCAAGGAAUUGGAAUUUUUAGUAAGCCCCUUAUGUGAUUUAUCCCAGCAUUACCACUACUGUAAGUAACCUGAGAGUUUUGUUUUUCUUCCAUAAUGAGAAGUCCAGAAGUAGCUCAAGACCAACAAGGCAAUUCUGAUGCCAUUAGGAACCCAGACUCUUUCCAACUUUCAGCCCUGACAUUCUUAACUCCGCAACUUCCCUUGCACCACGAUGGCUGUUCCAUCUCCACACCUGUGUUCCAUCUAUGUCCCAGUCAGGAAGAAGGGCAGGGGAAAGAGGCGUGCACAGCUGAGUUCGCCCAACACACCCACAUUCAAAGAGCUUUCCUGGAAGCUCCAGUCAGUCACUUCCCUUAUAUCUCAUCAGGAGGAACUGUUUCUUGGGGCCACGUGAACAACUAUAGCUGCGAGGAGGCUGGGAAAUAGAGUUUUACAGCUGGGCACAUUCCUGCUCAAACAAAAAUCAUGAUCCUCUUUGUGAGGAAGAGAAGAUAAAAAUCAGGUAUAGAACCUAAAGAUCAGUAAAUUGCCCAAGAUCACACUGUAGUGGAGGAACCUGGAUUCGAACCCAAGACAACAGAGCUUCAAAACUCUUCACCACAGGGGGCAUAGCAGUAGUGUUUUCCCAGAAGCUUCUUGUACCUGAUCCCAAAGGCAAGUUGUGAGGCUGAAGAAGGAGGUUGCCACAGCUACUAACUGGACCCCUUUUCACGUAAUCAGAUCCUUGGUCUGCUCCAGUUUUGCAAGAGGAGCCACUUGUCUGGAAACUCUCCUCAACACCUGCCCCUGGAGGGAGCCGACUGUGCCUGAAUUAUUUAGAGUCUCUAGACACUUGAUAUAAUGAGCAGAUGAAGAAAUCAAGGUUCAGAUGCUCUUGGUGACAUAGCCAGUUGAAGGGAAAGUACAGACUAGACGCCAGACCUUUACACAGGAGGGAGAGAGUGACCUCAAAGGGGAGUCUGGACUAGUGACUUCUAAGGCCCCUUCCAGACGGAGGCUCUCUUUCUCUCUGCUGCUGUGCUGGUUUCACCCCCUGCAUUCACAGCCCUCCCAAGGAGUUGGCAUCGUUUGGAAGAGUUCGUGAAACCUUUCUGCCCAGAGCUCCUGGACCAAUGCGUCUUCCCACCACCUUAAACCACUGUGACUACAAAUACUGAGUGGAAUACAUUUUUUGUCUUUCCUUUUUUUUUUUUGCCCUGGUUUGGAGAAGUAAACAUGAAAUUGUGUUGGGGUCGUCACUAAAACAAGGAGAUCAGCAUCAUCUCCGGUGAUUACUGCACGUCAUGGGAAGAAAUCAUUCUGAUUGUUCCACUGACUAAUUUAGACAAGGCACCAUCUGAUGCCUACUUCACAGCAGUGCCCUCAUCCUGCUGUCUCCUUAUCAACAUAGAGAUGACUCACUCCAUGUUUUCCUCACUCAGAGAGAAUUUCUGUAGUCUGCUGAUUACAGCAGUGAUUAAAUAAAAAAUGGUUCCAGCAGAGGUAUGCUUGAAAAAAA